UGAGUUAGGGAGGCUGCUUAUGUAUGAAGCAUCAAGGGAUUGGCUGCCUACUAUAACAGGGGAGAUUCAGUCACCAAUGGGUGUUGCCUCUGUAGAAUUUAUUGAUCCAAGGGAACCGGUUGCGAUUGUUCCUAUCUUGAGAGCUGGUCUUGCUCUAGCAGAACAUGCAUCAUCAACUGAUAUGGUAAACUGGGAUCACUGGUGGAGCCUGAAGUUACUCUCAAGGUAAUUGAAACUUGUUGCAAAUCACUGAUCUGCUAUAAAGAGAGGUCACUAUGACAUAGUUUUAUUUUGAUUAUUUCAAGCUAAACUAACACAUUGAAGUGUACUAAAUUUUCCGAUCA